UACAUGGGGUGCAAACGUUGCUCGGAAUUAUUGGGCGUAAAGCGCGCGUAGGCGGUUACUCAAGUCGGAUGUGAAAGCCCUCGGCUUAACUGAGGAAGUGCACCCGAAACUGAGUAGCUAGAGUACUAAAGAGGGUCGCGGAAUUCCCGGUGUAGAGGUGAAAUUCGUAGAUAUCGGGAGAAACACCGGUGGCGAAGGCGGCGACCUGGGUAGAUACUGACGCUGAGGCGCGAAAGCGUGGGGAGCAAACAGG
rnacentral:rRNA from 1 species